UCUGCCCCGACAAGUAUGGCAGGUAUGACUACUGUGUCACAUGUACUUCAAUACAUGGCAGAGAGAAGAGAGAGGCUAUUUCUACGCUGAGUAUUCUGAUUUAUGAAUAUCUGACAUAGCCUAAUUCC